rnacentral:tRNA from 2 species
GCGGGUGUGGCGGAAUUGGUAGACGCACUGGAUUUAGGUUCCAGCGGGGCAACCCGUGGGGGUUCGAGUCCCUCCACCCGCACCA